rnacentral:pre_miRNA from 1 species
ACAACAUACGGACUGUCGGUCUACCGAGCAAUAUUACCCGCUCGAUGGAAGGUCUGUCCUUCGUAGU